UGGGGAAUAUUGGACAAUGGGCGAAAGCCUGAUCCAGCCAUGCCGCGUGUGUGAAGAAGGUCUUCGGAUUGUAAAGCACUUUAAGUUGGGAGGAAGGGCAGUAAGCGAAUACCUUGCUGUUUUGACGUUACCGACAGAAUAAGCACCGGCUAACUCUGUGCCAGCAGCCGCGGUAAUACAGAGGGUGCAAGCGUUAAUCGGAAUUACUGGGCGUAAAGCGCGCGUAGGUGGUUCGUUAAGUUGAAUGUGAAAGCCCCGGGCUCAACCUGGGAACUGCAUCCAAAACUGGCGAGCUAGAGUAGGGCAGAGGAUGGUGGAAUUUCCUGUGUAGCGGUGAAAUGCGUAGAUAUAGGAAGGAACACCAGUGGCGGAGGCGACCACCUGGGCUCAUACUGACACUGAGGUGCGAAAGCGUGAGGAGCAAACAGG
rnacentral:rRNA from 1 species